rnacentral:rRNA from 1 species
UAGGGAAUCUUCGGCAAUGGACGAAAGUCUGACCGAGCAACGCCGCGUGAGUGAAGAAGGUUUUCGGAUCGUUAAACUCUGUUGUUAGAGAAGAACAAGGACGUUAGUAACUUAACGUCUCCUGACGGUAUCUAACCAGAAAUCCACGGCUAACUACGUGCCAGCAGCCGCGGUAAUACGUAGGUGGCAAGCGUUGUCCGGAUUUAUUGGGCGUAAAGCGAGCGCAGGCGGUUUCUUAAGUCUGAUGUGAAAGCCUCCGGCUCAACCGGGGAGGGUCAUUGGAAGCUGGGAGACAUGAGUGCAGACGGGGAGAGUGGAAUUCGUGGUGUAGCGGUAUAAUGCGUAGUUAUAUGGAGGAACAACGGUGGCGAAGGCGGCUCUCUGAUCUAUAACUGACGAUGAGGCACGAAGGCGUGGGGAGCAAACAGG